rnacentral:rRNA from 1 species
AAUAAGCGGAGGAAAAGAAACCAACAGGGAUUGCCCUAGUAACGGCGAGUGAAGCGGCAACAGCUCAAAUUUGAAAUCUGGCUCUCGGGCCCGAGUUGUAAUUUGUAGAGGAUGCUUUUGAUGCGGUGCCUUCCGAGUUCCCUGGAACGGGACGCCAUAGAGGGUGAGAGCCCCGUCUGGUUGGAUGCCAAAUCUCUGUAAAGCUCCUUCGACGAGUCGAGUAGUUUGGGAAUGCUGCUCUAAAUGGGAGGUAUAUGUCUUCUAAAGCUAAAUACCGGCCAGAGACCGAUAGCGCACAAGUAGAGUGAUCGAAAGAUGAAAAGCACUUUGAAAAGAGAGUUAAAAAGUACGUGAAAUUGUUGAAAGGGAAGCGUUUAUGACCAGACUUGGGCUUGGUUAAUCAUCUGGGGUUCUCCCCAGUGCACUUUUCCAGUCCAGGCCAGCAUCAGUUUUCGCCGGGGGAUAAAGGCUUCGGGAAUGUGGCUCUCUCCGGGGAGUGUUAUAGCCCGUUGCGUAAUACCCUGGCGGGGACUGAGGUUCGCGCAUCUGCAAGGAUGCUGGCGUAAUGGUCAUCAACGACCCGUCUUGAAACACGGACCAAGGAGUCGUCUUCGUAUGCGAGUGUUCGGGUGUCAAACCCCUACGCGUAAUGAAAGUGAACGCAGGUGAGAGCUUCGGCGCAUCAUCGACCGAUCCUGAUGUUCUCGGAUGGAUUUGAGUAAGAGCAUACGGGGCCGGACCCGAAAGAAGGUGAACUAUGCCUGUGUAGGGUGAAGCCAGAGGAAACUCUGGUGGAGGCUCGCAGCGGUUCUGACGUGCAAAUCGAUCGUCAAACAUGGGCAUGGGGGCGAAAGACUAAUCGA